UACGUAGGGACCAAGCGUUGUUCGGAUUUACUGGGCGUAAAGCGCACGUAGGCGGAUCGAUCAGUCAGGGGUGAAAUCCCAGGGCUCAACCCUGGAACUGCCUUUGAUACUGUCGAUCCGGAGUAUGGAAGAGGUGAGUGGAAUUCCGAGUGUAGAGGUGAAAUUCGUAGAUAUUCGGAGGAACACCAGUGGCGAAGGCGGCUCACUGGUCCAUUACUGACGCUGAGGUGCGAAAGCGUGGGGAGCAAACAGG
rnacentral:rRNA from 1 species